GAUGAACGCUGGCGGCGUGCCUAAUACAUGCAAGUCGAGCGAACAGAUAAGGAGCUUGCUCCUUUGACGUUAGCGGCGGACGGGUGAGUAACACGUGGGUAACCUACCUAUAAGACUGGGAUAACUUCGGGAAACCGGAGCUAAUACCGGAUAACAUUUGGAACCGCAUGGUUCUAAAGUGAAAGAUGGUUUUGCUAUCACUUAUAGAUGGACCCGCGCCGUAUUAGCUAGUUGGUAAGGUAACGGCUUACCAAGGCAACGAUACGUAGCCGACCUGAGAGGGUGAUCGGCCAAACUGGAACUGAGACACGGUCCAGACUCCUACGGGAGGCAGCAGUAGGGAAUCUUCCGCAAUGGGCGAAAGCCUGACGGAGCAACGCCGCGUGAGUGAUGAAGGGUUUCGGCUCGUAAAACUCUGUUAUUAGGGAAGAACAAACGUGUAAGUAACUGUGCACGUCUUGACGGUACCUAAUCAGAAAGCCACGGCUAACUACGUGC
rnacentral:rRNA from 1 species